rnacentral:rRNA from 1 species
UUUGUAAUAAUAGUAGUAWCACAAAGUAAAACUAAUGAAAUUUGGCAGUUGUAAUAAAUUAAAGAAGCUUGUUUUAUAACCGACAACGCCCGAUAACUUUCACUUAAUAAAUAUAGCUCUUAUWAUACCGCCGUAAAAAGAUUUACCUUAAAUAAAACUCUCAAAAAGAUAUAUAAAAAAUCAGGUCARGGUGUAACAAACAAUUAAGAAAAAAUUAGCUACUCAUAAAAAAAAUUUAUGAAAUAUAAUAUAAAAAUAUUAUAAGAAAUAGAAUUCAAAAACAAAUCCAAGAAUUAAAAUAAUUGAUUGAAAUUUUAAUUUACAAUGUACACAUCSCCGNNGGNUUUUUNAAANAUGNACACAUNGCCCGU